GCAGUCGCCGCGGUAAUACAGAGGGUGCGAGCGUUAAUCGGAUUUACUGGGCGUAAAGCGUGCGUAGGCGGCUUCUUAAGUCGGAUGUGAAAUCCCUGAGCUUAACUUAGGAAUUGCAUUCGAUACUGGGAAGCUAGAGUAUGGGAGAGGAUGGUAGAAUUCCAGGUGUAGCGGUGAAAUGCGUAGAGAUCUGGAGGAAUACCGAUGGCGAAGGCAGCCAUCUGGCCUAAUACUGACGCUGAGGUACGAAAGCAUGGGGAGCAAACAGGAUUAGAUACCCGGGUAGUCCAUGUCUCUUAUAC
rnacentral:rRNA from 1 species